rnacentral:rRNA from 1 species
GUGAGGAAUAUUGGUCAAUGGGCGGGAGCCUGAACCAGCCAAGUCGCGUGAAGGAAGAAGGAUCUAUGGUUCGUAAACUUCUUUUGCAGGGGAAUAAAGUGCAGGACGUGUUCUGUUUUGUAUGUACCCUGAGAAUAAGGAUCGGCUAACUCCGUGCCAGCAGCCGCGGUAAUACGGAGGAUCCGAGCGUUAUCCGGAUUUAUUGGGUUUAAAGGGUGCGUAGGUGGUUUGAUAAGUCAGCGGUGAAAGUUUGCAGCUUAACUGUAAAAAUGCCGUUGAAACUGUCGGACUUGAGUGUAAAUGAGGUAGGCGGAAUGCGUGGUGUAGCGGUGAAAUGCAUAGAUAUCACGCAGAACUCCGAUUGCGAAGGCAGCUUACUAAGCUACAACUGACACUGAAGCACGAAAGCGUGGGGAUCAAACAGGAUUAGAAACCCUUGUAGUCC